CGCCGCGUGGAGGAUGACACUUUUCGGAGCGUAAACUCCUUUUCUUAGGGAAGAACAAUGACGGUACCUAAGGAAUAAGCACCGGCUAACUCCGUGCCAGCAGCCGCGGUAAUACGGAGGGUGCAAGCGUUACUCGGAAUCACUGGGCGUAAAGGACGCGUAGGCGGAUUAUCAAGUCUUUUGUGAAAUCUAAUGGCUUAACCAUUAAACUGCUUGAGAAACUGAUAAUCUAGAGUGAGGGAGAGGCAGAUGGAACUGGUGGUGUAGGGGUAAAAUCCGUAGAGAUCACCAAGAAUACCCAUUGCGAAGGCGAUCUGCUAGAACUCAACUGACGCUAAUGCGUGAAAGCGUGGGGAGCAAACAGGAUUAGAUACCCUGGUAGUCCACGCCCUAAACGAUGCAUACUCGUUGUUGCUCUGCUAGUCAGGGCAGUAAUUCAGCUAACGCAUUAAGUAUGCCGCCUGGGGAGUACGGUCGCAAGAUUAAAACUCAAAGGAAUAGACGGGGACCCGCACAAGCGGUGGAGCAUGUGGUUUAAUUCGAAGAUACGCGAAGAACCUUACCUGGGCUUGAUAUCCUAAGAACCUCUUAGAGAUAAGGGGGUGCUAGCUUGCUAGAACUUAGAGACAGGUGCUGCACGGCUGUCGUCAGCUCGUGUCGUGAGAUGUUCGGUUAAGUCCGGCAACGAGCGCAACCCACGUAUUUAGUUGCUAACAGUUUGGCUGAGCACUCUAAAUAUACUGCCUUCGUAAGGAGGAGGAAGGUGUGGACGACGUCAAGUCAUCAUGGCCCUUAUGCCCAGGGCGACACACGUGCUACAAUGGCAUAUACAAUGAGACGCAAUAUCGCGAGAUGGAGCAAAUCUAUAAAAUAUGUCCCAGUUCGGAUUGUUCUCUGCAACUCGAGAGCAUGAAGCCGGAAUCGCUAGUAAUCGUAGAUCAGCCA
rnacentral:rRNA from 1 species